rnacentral:rRNA from 1 species
AGUGAACGCUGGCGGUAGGCCUAACACAUGCAAGUCGAACGGCAGCACAGUAAGAGCUUGCUCUUACGGGUGGCGAGUGGCGGACGGGUGAGGAAUACAUCGGAAUCUACUUUUUCGUGGGGGAUAACGUAGGGAAACUUACGCUAAUACCGCAUACGACCUACGGGUGAAAGCAGGGGAUCUUCGGACCUGCGGCGUUUGAUUGGGCCGAUGUCGGAUUAGCUAGUUGGCGGGGUAAAGGCCCACCAAGGCGACGAUCCGUAGCUGGUCUGAGAGGAUGAUCAGCCACACUGGAAUUGAGACACGGUCCAGACUCCUACGGGAGGCAGCAGUGGGGAAUAUUGGACAAUGGGCGCAAGCCUGAUCCAGCCAUACCGCGUGGGUGAAGAAGGCCUUCGGGUUGUAAAGCCCUUUUGUUGGGAAAGAAAAGCAGCAGGUUAAUACCCCGCUGUUCUGACGGUACCCAAAGAAUAAGCACCGGCUAACUUCGUG